AUCCCUUGACAUCCUGCGAACUUUCUAGAGAUAGAUUGGUGCCUUCGGGAACGCAGUGACAGGUGCUGCAUGGCUGUCGUCAGCUCGUGUCGUGAGAUGUUGGGUUAAGUCCCGCAACGAGCGCAACCCUUAUCUUUAGUUGCUACCAUUUAGUUGAGAACUCUAAAGAGACUGCCGGUGAUAAACCGGAGGAAGGCGGGGACGACGUCAAGUCAUCAUGGCCCUUAUGGGAUGGGCUACACACGUGCUACAAUGGGGGGUACAAAGAGCAGCCAACUGGCGACAGUGCGCGAAUCUCAUAAAACCUCUCGUAGUCCGGAUCGGAGUCUGCAACUCGACUCCGUGAAGUCGGAAUCGCUAGUAAUCGUGAAUCAGAAUGUCACGGUGAAUACGUUCCCGGGCCU
rnacentral:rRNA from 1 species